UCACUUUGCAUUUGAACACCCAGCAAGUUAUUAAUGAUUUCCUCUGACACAUCUUGAUCUUCCUUUAUGAUGAAAAGUCCUGAAGAUAGUUAAUGGAAUUUGCACCAUUCACAAAUAUUUUUUUUUUGAACUGAAGGAAAGUAUCAAAUAUCUCUUAAUCAUACUCCUUUGUCUCACAAGGCACAGAGAGAUAAACCACAUAACCAGGUUAAAACUACCAUUGAAGUUUUCAUUAAUGGCCUCAUUUCCUUCCAGGUGGAAAAGGCAUUUUUAAGCUAUUCACUUGGAAAUGAAGAUGAUGAAAAAAGAAAAGACAGGAAGAAGGAAGCAAGAAGAAACGCAUAUAUUAAUAAAAUAUCAUUGAGAACAAGGAGGUCAUCUGAAAAUCCAACUUUUCUCAAUCUUUGCAAUCUUCUCUAAACAAUAGAAGGGUGUUGAUGCAACAUGUCAGAACUCUUACACUGGAUGCAAGUUUUAAGCCUGGAAGAAAUCAACUUCACAAGAAGACAGCUAAGAUUGAACCUUAAGAAAAUUUCUCUCUCUUUAUUUA